GGAAAUGUGGAUCAGUGGUAGAUCACUUUUCUAGUACAUACAAGACUCUGGGUUCAAUCCCCAGCACUGCAA
rnacentral:tRNA from 1 species